rnacentral:rRNA from 1 species
UACGAAGGGGGCUAGCGUUGUUCGGAAUCACUGGGCGUAAAGCGCACGUAGGCGGAUCUUUAAGUCAGGGGUGAAAUCCCGAGGCUCAACCUCGGAACUGCCUUUGAUACUGGGGAUCUCGAGUCCGGGAGAGGAGCGUGGAAUUCCCAGUGUAGAGGUGAAAUUCGUAGAUAUUGGGAAGAACACCAGUGGCGAAGGCGGCUUACUGGUCCGGUUCUGACGCUGAGGCGCGAAAGCGUGGGGAGCAAACAGG